UCAGGUUUAAUCCGAAAAGUCUACAGCUGCUUGGAAAUAGGUGGAGAGAGCCUUAUGCUGAGCGAAAGUGGAGAAACUCUACUGAAUGAGGAAAAGAUAUGUAAAGAUGCAUGGCCAGAUAUUAUUAUUUGUUAUACAUCGUCUGGAAACAAUAACGAAACCACUUCAUCAGCUUUCUACAACUCAGGUUGUUUUGUUUCUCAAACAAGAAACAC